rnacentral:rRNA from 1 species
AGCGAACGCUGGCGGCAGGCCUAACACAUGCAAGUCGAACGAACCUUUCGGGGUUAGUGGCGGACGGGUGAGUAACACGUGGGAACGUGCCUUUAGGUUCGGAAUAACUCAGGGAAACUUGUGCUAAUACCAAAUGGGCUCUUCGGGGGAAAGAUUUAUCGCCUUUAGAGCGGCCCGCGUCUGAUUAGCUAGUUGGUUGGGGUAAUGGCUCACCAAGGCGACGAUCAGUAGCUGGUCUGAGAGGAUGAUCAGCCACAUUGGGACUGAGACACGGCCCAAACUCCUACGGGAGGCAGCAGUGGGGAAUCUUGCGCAAUGGGCGAAAGCCUGACGCAGCCAUGCCGGGUGAAUGAUGAAGGUCUUAGGAUUGUAAAAUUCUUUCACCGGGGACGUUAAUGACGGUACCCGGUGAAGAAGCCCCGGCUAACUUCGUG